UUGUUUGCUGAGGCGCUAAGGAGUUUGCCAUUCCUGGUGUCAUGCCUGUCUGCUGCCACACUUCCUGGUGAAAGACCCCGAAGAGGCACUUUCGUAGAGGGAGACCCACACACCCAGGAAUCAGCGAGGCCACGAACUGGAUGCAAAAAAACAAGAGGCUUUAUUGGAGACGCAGUAUUCUAGAUGGUGUUUUGCAUUUCAUCAUGGAUGGUGUGAUUGUUGGACAGCUCUUUGCACAACAUCUCAAACAAUUCAUCACCAAAAAAGAGAUUAGUCACAGAGGGUACAGAGUCACACUGAGACCCCAGUAUGACCUUCAAACAUUUAUUUCCUGCAUGGUUUCCACCAAUGAGAUCCCUUCAUUCAAUGUCGACAAGACAGUGUGUUGACAGAUGGUUUGUGAAAAAACAAGAAAACUCAUGAGCGGUUCUUAACACAGAGAAACUCUGUCUUGAAAAAGCAAACAAAAUAAGAUAUAUUUUUAGCUUAGGAAUGCCUACACAUAUCUGUGUGCAUCUCAGGUGUGUAGUGCCUGUGCAGGCCAAAAGAAGAGGUCAGAUCCCUUGGAGCUGGAGUUAAAGGCAGUUGUGAGCUGCCUAACCUGGGUGCCGGGAACCCAGUUCUCUGCAAGAGUAGCAAGUGCUCUCAACAGCUGAACCAUCUCUCCAGCCCCAUACAUAUAAUCUUAAAA
rnacentral:lncRNA from 1 species